UGAGGAAUAUUGGGCAAUGCCCGCAAGGGUGACCCAGCAACGCCGCGUGGAGGAUGAAUGUCGUAAGAUUGUAAACUCCUGUUAGAGGGGAAGAAUAGUACCGGUUGGACCGGUAUAUGACUGUACCCUCAGAGAAAGCCCCGGCUAACUACGUGCCAGCAGCCGCGGUAAUACGUAGGGGGCAAGCGUUGUCCGGAUUUACUGGGUGUGAAGGGCGCGCAGGCGGGAUAAAAAGUCAGUGGUGAAAUCCUACAGCUUAACUGUAGAACUGCCUUUGAUACUUUUAUUCUUGAGUUCGGGAGAGAGAGACGGAAUUCCAGGUGUAGUGGUGAAAUACGUAGAUAUCUGGAAGAACACCAGUUGCGAAGGCGGUCUCUUGGUCCGACACUGACGCUGAGGCGCGAAAGCGUAGGGAGCAAACA
rnacentral:rRNA from 1 species